rnacentral:rRNA from 1 species
AUUGAACGCUGGCGGCAGGCCUAACACAUGUAAGUCGAACGAGUGGCGGACGGGUGAGUAAUGUCUGGGAAACUGCCCGAUGGAGGGGGAUAACUACUGGAAACGGUAGCUAAUACCGCAUACCAUCGGAUGUGCCCAGAUGGGAUUAGCUAGUGGGUGGGGUAACGGCGCACCCAGGCGACCAUCCCUAGCUGGUCUGAGUGGAUGACCAGCCACACUGGAACUGAGACACGGUCCAGACGCAUACGGGAGGCAGCAGUGGGGAAUAUGGCACAAUGGGCGCAAGCCUGAUGCAGCCAUGCCGCGUGUAUGAAGAAGGCCUUCGGGUUGUAAAGUACUUUCAGCGAGGAGGCGUUACUCGCAGAAGAAGCACCGGCUAACUCCGUGCCAGCAGCCGCGGUAAUAC